rnacentral:rRNA from 1 species
AUUGAACGCUGGCGGCAUGCCUUACACAUGCAAGUCGAACGGUAACGGGUCCUUCGGGAUGCCGACGAGUGGCGAACGGGUGAGUAAUAUAUCGUAACGUGCCCAGUCGUGGGGGAUAACUGCUCGAAAGAGCAGCUCAUACCGCAUACGACCUGAGGGUGCAAGGGGGGGCUCGCAAGACCUCUCGCCAUUGGAGCGGCGGAUAACAGAUUGGCUGGUUGGUGGGGUAAAGGCCUACCAAGGCAACGAUCUGUAGUUGGUCUGAGAGGACGACCAGCCACACUGGGACUGAGACACGGCCCAGACUCCUACGGGAGGCAGCAGUGGGGAAUUUUGGACAAUGGGCGCAAGCCUGAUCCAGCAAUGCCGCGUGCAGGAAGAAGGCCUUCGGGUUGUAAACUGCUUUUGUCAGGGAAGAAAUCUUCUGGGCUAAUACCCCGGGAGGAUGACGGUACCUGAAGAAUAAGCACCGGCUAACUACGUGCCAGCAGCCGCCGCGG